CACGCCGAGAAACGCCCCUCAUUUAAUUUUUGUUGCCCGCGAAAACACUUCCUUUUCCCUCUUAGAAUUUUCAUAUUUCAGAAUACUCUCCCCUAAAAUUUUUCGUGUAACAUUCUUUUCUUCUUCCCCAAAUUUCUCCCUCUCUCUGACCCUAAACUCUCUCUCUCUCUCUCUCUCUCUCUCUCUCUCUCUCUCUCACCCAAAACCCUCUCUAGCUCUAUCUGACCCCAAAUCCUUGCGAUUCUCUCUAACUCCAAACCAUCUAUCACUCUUUCUCAUCUAGAAAUUCUCUUGAUUCCCAAACCCUUUCACGACUGCAAUCUCAAGGGAACCUCACUGGGUAUGAAGUUUCAAAUUCUUUCAAUUCUUUCAAUUAAUGUGCAGAAGAGGUGCCAUGUGAUUGGUUGAAGAUGUAGAAAAAGCUGGGUGAGAGAUUUGAGACCUCUUGUUGGCUUCUCUAAUCUCAGCCACCCACUUCACCCAUUUUCUCCAAUAUAUGUUCCUUUGGUACAUAGAAGCUAUCCAAUUGGGAUGGUAUUGGAGUAGAAGAGCCUUUGAAGCUUCUCUUCAGAAGACUAGCUAGAGGAGCAACAACAGUUACCUAAAAGCUCAUCAUGUCAAGACAUAAGUUGGUGGUUCAAUUGAUGAAUGUCAAGGUAAACUUAAGUUAUACACACAACUACCUACUUGAUCAUAAUACCAUAAACAUUGGAGUUUAUGGUUCAGUUGCUGAUAGAAUAUUUGGAAGCAACAACAAAAACAUAGCCAAAUAAUUGGACAACCAGCUGAUGGUAGCCCUGCUACACAGUUUGAGCAUAGGUUAGAUGUGGUUUGAUGUGUUAGAGAUUGAUUUUUGUUAUUAUAUUCAUGAAUUAAUGGGUUGGAGAGAUUGUGAACAAGUUCAUUAUAGGUUUGGCAGCACUUUUAUGUGUUUCUUUUAUACUCUAAAGAGUUCGUAUUUAGAAUUGAUUAUGAUUGGUA